UUGAAAGUUGGUAACUUCUGACCACAGA
rnacentral:piRNA from 1 species